AAACCAUGGUGUGGACAAUCUCUUUGGUAAUCUCUGAAUCUUUCCCAAGCUUCAUAGAGGUCUUCUGUGUGC
rnacentral:snoRNA from 1 species